CACUACCCUUCGGGUUGGAGCCCGAGAAGAUCCCAUGGUAACUAUUAGCGUUGGUAGCAGAGACUUUGAAGCCUUGGUUGAUACUGGGGCUACAUUUUCAAUGAUCCCAGAAAACCCUCCCCCUGUGCAGGAACUAGCGAACAGCAUGUUCUUGUGGAGGGGAUUGAGGGAACGCAAUCCUGACUAACCGUUUGUAAGCCACUCCUCACCAAAGUGGGGGACCAUUUGCUUGAGCACUUCUUUGUAUAUUCUCCAAGUUGCCCGGUUGUGCUACUUGGACGAGACCUACUCACAAAACUGCAAGCUGAGAUAUUUUUCAGAGACGAUCAGAUGGUAGUCCAGUUACCUGUCAAGCAGAGCUCGAACUAUCAGAUGGCUCUCCUGGAGGACCGAUGCCCUGUACCUUGAACCCUGCAACCUUGCUGCUGGAACCAGGGAGACCAACACAUGACUGCCUUGAGGUCCUGAAUCAGACCACACAAGUGCAACCUGAUCUUGCUGAGGACCCAAUUGAGAACCCAGAUGCUGAGUACUUCGUAGACAGCUCCAGCUCUGUCAUCGGUGGAAAAAGACGAACAGGAUUUGCAGUGGUAACUUUGGAUGAGGUAGUAUGGAGGGAGUCAUUGCUGAGCUCAUGGUCGGCACAGGCCGCGGAACUCACUGCGCUCACCUGAGCAUUACAGUUGGGGACACGCCAGUGGGUUAAUGUAUAUACCGAUUCUUGCUAUGCUUUUUCUACGGUUCAUGCGCACAGACUAUUGUGGAAAGAAAGGGGUUUCAUUACGGCUUCUGGGAGUAAAAUUGCUAACGGCCCUCAGAUUAUCAAGCUAUUAGAUGCACUCCACCAGCCUAAAGAGGUGGCAGUCAUUCAUGUGCGAGCCCAUGCAAAGGCUGCAGAGGAAAAGCAUAAGCUUGGAAACGCAAGGGCUGAUACGGCAGCAAAGGAAGCUGCAUUUAUUGGUGGAGAGGCAGAGGAAGUAUCCAGGCAGGCCUUGUCCCAUGCCGUAUGGCCAUACGUCUGGGAUCUAGUCCCGCAGUAUUCCCCUGAAGAAGAUAAAAUUGCAAAGGAGGCUCGCACAGAAAAGAACUCCCAUGGAUGGUGGA
rnacentral:lncRNA from 1 species